rnacentral:rRNA from 1 species
UACGAAGGGGGCUAGCGUUGUUCGGAUUUACUGGGCGUAAAGCGCACGUAGGCGGAUUGUUAAGUCAGGGGUGAAAUCCUGGAGCUCAACUCCAGAACUGCCUUUGAUACUGGCAAUCUCGAGUCCGGAAGAGGUGAGUGGAACUCCUAGUGUAGAGGUGGAAUUCGUAGAUAUUAGGAAGAACGCCAGUGGCGAAGGCGGCUCACUGGUCCGGUACUGACGCUGAGGUGCGAAAGCGUGGGGAGCAAACAGG